rnacentral:rRNA from 1 species
ACAAUGGAGAGUUUGAUCCUGGCUCAGGAUGAACGCUAGCGGCAGGCUUAAUACAUGCAAGUCGUGGGGCAGCAGGGGUAGCAAUACCCGCUGGCGACCGGCAAACGGGUGCGGAACACGUACGCAACCUUCCUUUAACUGGAGAAUAGCCCCUCGAAAGAGGGAUUAAUACUCCGUAACAUAUUGAUAAGGCAUCUUAUUAAUAUUAUAGCCUUCGGGCGGUUAAAGAUGGGCGUGCGCCUGAUUAGAUAGUUGGCGGGGUAAUGGCCCACCAAGUCUGCGAUCAGUAACUGGUGUGAGAGCACGACCAGUCACACGGGCACUGAGACACGGGCCCGACUCCUACGGGAGGCAGCAGUAAGGAAUAUUGGUCAAUGGACGCAAGUCUGAACCAGCCAUGCCGCGUGGAGGAUUAAGGCCCUCUGGGUUGUAAACUCCUUUUAUCUGGGAAGAAAUGCCAUUUUUCUAAAUGGUUUGACGGUACCAGAGGAAUAAGCACCGGCUAACUCCGUGCCAGCAGCCGCGGUAAUACGGAGGGUGCAAGCGUUAUCCGGAUUCACUGGGUUUAAAGGGUGCGUAGGCGGGCAGGUAAGUCCGUGGUGAAAUCUCUGAGCUUAACUCAGAAACUGCCAUGGAUACUAUUUGUCUUGAAUACUGUGGAGGUAAGCGGAAUAUGUCAUGUAGCGGUGAAAUGCUUAGAUAUGACAUGGAACACCAAUUGCGAAGGCAGCUUACUACACAGUUAUUGACGCUGAGGCACGAAAGCGUGGGGAUCAAACAGGAUUAGAUACCCUGGUAGUCCACGCCCUAAACGAUGAUUACUCGACAUCAGCGAUACACUGUUGGUGUCUGAGCGAAAGCAUUAAGUA